rnacentral:rRNA from 1 species
CAGCCGUAAACUAUGCUCGCUAGGUGUCAGGCAUGGCGCGACCGUGUCUGGUGCCGCAGGGAAGCCGUGAAGCGAGCCACCUGGGAAGUACGGCCGCAAGGCUGAGACUUAAAGGAAUUGGCGGGGGAGCACAACAACGGGUGGAGCCUGCGGUUUAAUUGGACACAACGCCGGACAACUCACCGGGGACGACAGCGGAAUGAUUGCCGGGCUGAAGACUCUGCAUGACUAGCUGAGAGGAGGUGCAUGGCGUAGACGUCU